CACUCAAAAAUCACUACCGAGUGAUUUCACGUGGUCUGAGAUCUCUUUGUUGCUUCUCUGUAUGUUCGCCUCGGCCACUUGUCAUUUCCCACAUGGCUUCUACAAACUCUCCUUUGGCAUGGGCAGUCAGGAUAUGACGUUGGCUCGCUUCAUAAUUACUGGUUAUUCCACAGAUCCCAGCAGAAUAUGUCCAAGACGCUGAGU